GAGGAAAGUCCGGACUCCUAAUAGAAAUAAAUUGCUGAAUAAACUUCAGUAUAAGCAAUUAUGAGGAAAGUGCCACAGAAAAAAACCGCCUUGCGUAAUACUUUUCUAUGUAAGGUAAGGGUGCAAAGGUGUAUUAAGAGUACACCAGAAGUAUUAUUAAGAUACUUGCUAGGUAAACCCCAUUGAGGAGUAAAGAGGUAACAUUAAAGAUUUCUAUAAUUAACGAAUUAAAAAAUUUGUUGUGUUAACGACUAAAUACCGCUUUAAGUAGUGUAUUUUACACUACCUUAGAUCAAUAACUACCCUUGCUUUAAGUAUGAAGGAGUAAGAACAGAAUCCGGCUUAU
rnacentral:RNase_P_RNA from 1 species